CACGUAGGGCGCAAGCGUUGUCCGGAAUUAUUGGGCGUAAAGAGCUCGUAGGCGGUCUGUUACGUCUGCUGUGAAAACCCAGGGACUUAACCCUGGGCUUGCAGUGGAUACGGGCAGACUAGAGGCGAGUAGGGGAGAAUGGAAUUCCCGGUGUAGCGGUGAAAUGCGCAGAUAUCGGGAGGAACACCGGUGGCGAAGGCGGUUCUCUGGGCCUGACCC
rnacentral:rRNA from 1 species